UACGGAGGGGGCUAGCGUUGUUCGGAAUUACUGGGCGUAAAGCGCACGUAGGCGGCUUUGCAAGUUAGAGGUGAAAGCCCGGGGCUCAACUCCGGAAUUGCCUUUAAAACUGCAUCGCUAGAAUUGUGGAGAGGUAAGUGGAAUUCCGAGUGUAGAGGUGAAAUUCGUAGAUAUUCGGAAGAACACCAGUGGCGAAGGCGACUUACUGGACACAUAUUGACGCUGAGGCGCGAGAGCGUGGGGAGCGAACCGG
rnacentral:rRNA from 1 species